UUGUUUUAACUUAUGUUUUUUACAGUAUUCGCUGUACCAUGGAGUCCGAUGAGUUCUUCAUUAACGUAAACGUUAACGCUACCCUUCUACGGUGCCCUAAAUGGGUGUAACUUCUACCGCUAUCUUCGUACGUUGCUUUAAAUGGGAGUCUUUAUGGAUCCUUUGUUGAAUGAAGCAUUGGCUAAUCCUGAGAUGGACAACUUUAUCAAUAAGGACCAACUGGAGAGGUUCCGUGGUACUGGUGGAGUGCGUAUUGAGGAUGAUGUUUUGUUUACUGAAGAUGGAUGUGUCAACUGGACUAAAAUACCCAGAACUGUCCAAGAAAUUGAAGAUUGGAUUGCCGGUGUUGAUGAUGAUUCCAAAUACGAUUGAAUGAAUUUACAACAUUUUGAAGCUCAUAUUGAUAUCAUUUUUAUGUAUUUUGUUAAAAGAUAUAAAAAGAGCAUUAUAUAAUAGCAUAUUAUUAUCCUGUUUUCAUGCAUGUUUCGUUAAAAAUUGUGUAUAUAUUGAGAAAUUGAGUUUGUGAUUCUACAUGUUCCAAUAAAAUUGUUGUUUUAUAUUUUAAACUAUAAA